rnacentral:lncRNA from 1 species
AUUGGGCAUUGAAGUCUCUUUAAUACUAUUAGAUAAAAGAAAGUUGAUUUUAAAGUAAAUAGAAAUGUACUUCUCCAUUUUCCAGUAGGACCGCAAAAAAUAUGUUGUAACUAAACUUCUUCGAUAUGUAUAACAUGAUAUUACUGGGUUAUGAAAAACAAGAUAUUUUUCUAUUAUACUUUCUCAUCGUACAUAACACAAUUUCCUCAUAAUUACAGAUAGAGUCUAAAACAGAGCACAAUAUUGAUAUAAUGA